CUCGACUAUACAUGCAAGUCGAGCGGACCGACGGGAGCUUGCUCCCUUAGGUCAGCGGCGGACGGGUGAGUAACACGUGGGUAACCUGCCUGUAAGACUGGGAUAACUCCGGGAAACCGGGGCUAAUACCGGAUGCUUGAUUGAACCGCAUGGUUCAAUCAUAAAAGGUGGCUUUUAGCUACCACUUCAGAUGGACCCGCGGCGCAUUAGCUAGUUGGUGAGGUAACGGCUCACCAAGGCGACGAUGCGUAGCCGACCUGAGAGGGUGAUCGGCCACACUGGGACUGAGACACGGCCCAGACUCCUACGGGAGGCAGCAGUAGGGAAUCUUCCGCAAUGGACGAAAGUCUGACGGAGCAACGCCGCGUGAGUGAUGAAGGUUUUCGGAUCGUAAAACUCUGUUGUUAGGGAAGAACAAGUACCGUUCGAAUAGGGCGGACCUUGACGGUACCUAACCAGAAAGCCACGGCUAACUACGUGCCAGCAGCCGCGGUAAUACGUAGGUGGCAAGCGUUGUCCGGAAUUAUUGGGCGUAAAGCGCGCGCAGGCGGUUUCUUAAGUCUGAUGUGAAAGCCCCCGGCUCAACCGGGGAGGGUCAUUGGAAACUGGGGAACUUGAGUGCAGAAGAGGAGAGUGGAAUUCCACGUGUAGCGGUGAAAUGCGUAGAGAUGUGGAGGAACACCAGUGGCGAAGGCGACUCUCUGGUCUGUAACUGACGCUGAGGCGCGAAAGCGUGGGGAGCGAACAGGAUUAGAUACCCUGGUAGUCCACGCCGUAAACGAUGAGUGCUAAGUGUUAGAGGGUUUCCGCCCUUUAGUGCUGCAGCAAACGCAUUAAGCACUCCGCCUGGGGAGUACGGUCGCAAGACUGAAACUCAAAGGAAUUGACGGGGGCCCGCACAAGCGGUGGAGCAUGUGGUUUAAUUCGAAGCAACGCGAGAACCUUACCAGGUCUUGACAUCCUCUGACACCCUAGAGAUAGGGCUUCCCUUCGGGGGCAGAGUGACAGUGUGCAUGGAUGUCGUCAGCUCGUGUCGUGAGAUGUUGGGUUAGUCCGCACGAGCGCACCCUUGAUCUAGUGCAGCAUCAGUGGCACUCUAAGUGACUGCCGUGACAUCGAGAGCGGAUGACCUAGUCCAUUCCGUAUGAUCUGGGC
rnacentral:rRNA from 1 species